rnacentral:rRNA from 1 species
UACGUAGGGUGCAAGCGUUGUCCGGAAUUAUUGGGCGUAAAGAGCUCGUAGGCGGUUUGUCGCGUCUGCUGUGAAAACUCGGGGCUUAACCCCGGGCCUGCAGUGGGUACGGGCAGACUAGAGUGCGGUAGGGGAGACUGGAAUUCCUGGUGUAGCGGUGAAAUGCGCAGAUAUCAGGAGGAACACCAAUUGCGAAGGCAGCUCGCUGGGACGCUACUGACGCUGAGACGCGAAAGCGUGGGGGAGCAAACAGG